UGAUCGUACUCGACAAGUAUGGGGAGAAGAGCUACUUGGGUCUCGGACCCGGGCUGGCAAAGCUUGGAAUGUCUGCGGUGCCUGAGAGGGUGCCAAGGAGGUGACGGCGCCCGCUCUCCUCCGGACACCGGAGGGUGAGAAAUCGGAUCUCCUAAAUUGGAUGACUUGAAAAGUAGAGCUUGCCUCCAGCAUUCAGUUAAAUUUCAAAUGACUCCACUCUUCCAAACGGCAGCGAGGACUUUGGGAGCUGUGCAAAUGGAAAAAAGAUUUUGAGGAGGGAGAAGGUUUCUCUUAAUCUGACAUAAAUAUUUGGGUUUUAGCUAUAUGCUAAAUUAAAAGAGUGUAACCUCACUAGCCUUUCUCUUCACCCAAUAUCUUUAUACCAUCUUGAUGUGCACUCGGUGACUAUGUCUUAGCAAUUAACUGUCCAUGGUACAGAGUUUUGGUGACCGCAACUCAGACUGCUUUCUCGUCUACUUUAAAAUCCCAGAACACAGGAACACAGGGUUAAAGAAGAUACUAUCCCAGACAACUAAAGAAAAACAAUCAGCUCUAACACAACCCAUAAGGACCCUCAAAUCAGGAUGAACCAAAAUUUGACGGCAAGCAAAAAAUAAACUUAAUGGUGACUCUGCCUCCAGACUGGUUUUUCUUUCUAGUUUUCCAUGGCCACAGAUGAGCCAUGAAAUGUGUAGCAUCUGCAGGCUGGAUCAGAGGAAGCAGAGCCUGGCUACAGCACCUCUGCAUUGCAGGGUGCUUUUGGCAAAGAAGGAGGCACCCCCUCCCGGGAAUGCUCACCUUGGGGCUUUUGUGCAAAGGGCACAGGGCAUGUUGACUCACUGACAAGCUGGACUUUGGUCCCACUCACCCCCUUACCCAGACAUGCUUGUAAAUACAGAGCCCAUGCAAGUGUAUGCAGAGGCCAGACCUGCAAGUACUCCAUUGAGGAAACCACUGGGAGAUUGUGGGGGUUCUCUGGCAGUGCUCCAGUAACUGGAUUAAAGUCCUCAAACAUACAGAACUUCACUUUCUGUAAAAUAUUGCUAACUUACAAAAAGAACAAAAAUCUGAAUUCAUACCAAUCAGCUUAAGAAAUAGGAUAUUGUGUUCCUACCAUGGCACAAUGAGUUAAGAAUCCAACUGCAGGAGCUUGGGUUGCUAUGGACCUAUGGGUUCAAUCCCCCGCUGGCGCAGGGGUUAAAGGAUCUGGUGUUGUGGCUCAAAUUCCAACCCCAGCCCUGGAACUUCCAUAUGCUGUGGAUGCAGCCAUAAAAUUAAAAAAAAAAAAAAAAAAAGAAAAAAGAAAUAGGAUGUUGCAAUGUAGUUGAAGUUCCCUUUGUACCCCUCGACAAUCAUAUUCCCUCCUUCUUUCUCUCCCUGGGAAAUGAGCCCCUUCCUAAAUUUCAUAUGCCCAUGCAUAUUUUCAUGUUUUUUGUAUGUGUGCAUCCCUAAAUAAUAUAGCAUUGAUUUGUAUAUAUAAAGAAUAUCAUUCUGUACUCUUCUGCAACUUGGUUUUUUUCAGUCUGUGAGCUUUAACCAUGUUCAUGAAAUAUGUGCUAUUGUUAAUUCAUUUUCAUUACUAGAGUAUUCUCUUUAAAGAAUAUACCCAGUAUUUAUUUACCCAUUAGUGUUAUUAUUAAAUUUUUUUUCGAACAAUGAUACCAUGAGUAUUCUUGUA